GACUCAGGUAGUCAAAGUGUUGAGGAGGGAAAACGAUGAAUUGAGGCAGGCACUCAGAGGAAGCAGUGACCAUGCCGGUGCCUAUCCUGCUUCCUCGACCCUCUAGAGGUCAUUACGUGCCAAGGACACUGGGGACCCACCCAUACAGACAGGACGGGGUCUCAGCUUUCCUUGGCCCGGCCGUGGUUUCGAGCAACUCGGAAAAGAAGCAACGCUACCCUGACACGCCUCCAAACUCCCAACAAUGCCGAUCAAUGGACUAAGAAAUACUCGCAUUCACAACUUCUCUUUUCCCACUCCCCCACCACUCCUGUGCACUGUAAAUAAACACAAAGUGAUUCCUUUUCAGUGUGUUCCUCUGAUCACACGAGCAAUUCACUACUACACAGAGCACUUUUAAUAAUGGACAUUGUCUAAAAACAGCCUCACACAGAAAAUGUGGUUGUUAAGAAAUGAAUAAGAUUUUUCUUUAGAUUUAUAAGUUUGCCCCUAAUAAAUGAGCCGAUGGUGACUGUGGCAAAAGAAAAACUCCCUGAGAUUUCAUAAGGAAGAACUUUUACUUGAGUAGAUUUGUGAAGAAGAAAAUGUACUCUUACUCCGCUACAAUGAGCUCGUUACUUCUCUUUUUACCUCUUUGGUAUUCUCCGCAUCAAUUUUAAUGUUUUAUUUUGACAGAGAGAGAAACUUCCGCUAAGGCGCUACCACGUGACUGUGUUUCACCAAUCAAAUGUAGUUUUGUCACGUUACCAUACUCAAUCUCAGCGGCGGGACGGGUUAGUUAGCAACACAAACCUGUCAGAAUCAAUCGUCGGCAAUGCAGACACAAACGAGGAGGAAAACGAGUUGGGAAAAUCACAAGUAGGAGAGCUGGAGAGGUACCUUUCAUGUCCUUCCCCUGCAGGUAUUGAUCUACCCCACAUCUUUCCUCACAUCAAGAAUCUGUCACUCAAAGUCAACACAGGUCUUCCUGCAUCUGCAGCCUGUGAAAGACUUUUCAGUCAUGCAGGACUCCUGUUCACUGCUAAACGAUCACAGCUUCACAACAAGAACCUUGAGAGCCAGCUACUGUUGAAGUUUAAUAGUGACAUCACUGAGUGAUUUUUUUGGUGAAAUAAUUUUUUCUGCAUGUUUUCACACACGCGCACACACGUUUUACGUUGACUGCUUCCUUCUGGUGUGCAGUUUUCUGUUCAGCAUCCCUGCUAUGAAAUGUGUGUGUUUCCUUCUGUUGUUCUGUCACUGGAGACACACACACACACACACACAGUUUGAGAUGGGCUCAUGGGCUGCCUCGUUCUAGUUCUGCCUGGUAAAAAAGAAUAAAGGUUUGGAAAUUUGUGUUA